rnacentral:rRNA from 1 species
UACGUAGGGGGCUAGCGUUGUCCGGAUUUAUUGGGCGUAAAGAGCUCGUAGGCGGUUUGUCGCGUCUGCUGUGAAAUCCCGAGGCCUCAACCUCGGGCUUGCAGUGGGUACGGGCAGACUAGAGUGGCGGUAGGGGAGACUGGGAAUUCCUGGUGUAGCGGUGGAAUGCGCAGAUAUCAGGAGGAACACCGGAUGGCGAAGGCAGGUCACCUGGGCCG